UUCAGUGCCACAGAACUAUCUGGGCCUCUUCCUCUACCCCUCCUUGUGUGAUCGCUCCUUUCAAAAGCAACAGCCAAAGCAGAUGCAAGGGAGAUGCAUUGGUGCUCAUAAAUUCAAGGAGCUGAAAUGGCAACAGCUGUGGCAAUUUCAGGAUUUCAGCAGGUAAUCAAAUGGGUCAAAAUCAAAGUUGAUGAUCAGUCAUAUGAUCUUCAGCAGCCCUGGAAGGGUGUGAGUUCUCGGCAUCCCAUGCAGGAGCUCUGAAUGUACAAGAGGUGCUGAGGAGGGAGCAUGCGCCGAAUACCACUGCCUUCUUUCUGUGUCCAAGCAAGUUAUGACUGGAAUGGAAAGUAUAGCCACCCGGGGCUGUCAGUACCCCUACCUACUCAAUUGCAGACAUGUUGAUACAGAACAUGAUCAUCGAAUUCCAGUGAAGCCACAGUGAUGGGAGUCCAGCAAGAGUAAAAGCAAGUAGAAGGAAGAAGCCCAGAAAAACCAAAGCGCCUAAGGCCCAUGAAAGCUGUAAUGACUCCUUACCAUGAAGAUGCUAAAGGUUAAGAUGCAAGAACACGAGUGUCAAGUUCUGGUUCCAGACUACAUGCUCGUGGCCACUACACUCUGCUGCUGCCUCAUAUUCUAUAUGCCUUGUACACUGUAACUCCACUGAAGUGCUGGUGGUGGUGGCGUGUGUGUGUGAGAGGGAGAGAGAGAACUGGGGCAUCGGGAGGCCCCUAGCCCUCACACCUACCAG
rnacentral:lncRNA from 10 species